AGUUUUUGAAGUGCGGUACCCAGCCUCUCCUGUGCCCGGUCCAGUUCCUCCUCCACCAGCUGAAUCCUGCGGUUCAGGGCCGCCACAUCACCCUCAGCCUAAUGACCAGGAAAGGUCCAAGGUUUGAGGACCACCUUCUGAAAAGCACUUUUUAGCAAUCCCAGUUUCCUGCAUAUCUCCAUGGUCAUCUGAGUAUGAGAAGAGGGUCCACAGGAAAACUUAAAUGUGAAACAAGAGCCAACAUCCUGACCCAGUUCCUCUGGGAGCUCGGGAUGGGGCUGACGUGAUGUGACAUCCUUUAUGUCUCCUAUGUAAAAGAUAAACUCUAAAACUAUUGUAUGAAACAUUUAUGAAUAAAUUAAACAGUUGUGCGGCACCAUGAUGUAAAA